rnacentral:rRNA from 1 species
UACGUAGGGGGCAAGCGUUGUCCGGAAUCAUUGGGCGUAAAGGGCGUGUAGGCGGCCCGGUAAGUCCGCUGUAAAAGUCAAAGGCUCAACCUUUGAAUGGCAGUGGAUACUGCCGGACUAGAGUACGGAAGAGGAGAGUGGAAUUCCUGGUGUAGCGGUGAAAUGCGCAGAUAUCAGGAGGAACACCAACGGCGAAGGCAGCUCUCUGGGACGCUACUGACGCUGAGACGCGAAAGCGUGGGGAGCAAACAGG